rnacentral:rRNA from 1 species
GAUGAACGCUGGCGGCGUACCUAAUACAUGCAAGUCGAGCGAAUGGAUUAAGAGCUUGCUCUUAUGAAGUUAGCGGCGGACGGGUGAGUAACACGUGGGUAACCUGCCCAUAAGACUGGGAUAACUCCGGGAAGCCGGGGCUGAUACCGGAUAACAUUUUGAACCGCAUGGUUCGAAAUUGGAAGGCGGCUUCGGCUGCCACUUAUGGAUGGACCCGCGUCGCAUUAGCUAGUUGGUGAGGUAACGGCUCACCAAGGCAACGAUGCGUAGCGGACCUGAGAGAGUGAUCGGCCACACUGGGACUGAGACACGGCCCAGACUCCUACGGGAGGCAGCAGUAGGGAAUCUUCCGCAAUGGACGAAAGUCUGACGGAGCAACGCCGCGUGAGUGAUGAAGGCUUUCGGGUCGUAAAACUCUGUUGUUAGGGAAGAACAAGUGCUAGUUGAAUAAGCUGGCACCUUGACGGUACCUAACCAGAAAGCCACGGCUAACUACGUGCCAGCCGCCGCGGUAA